rnacentral:lncRNA from 1 species
GUACAUCUCUGCUGCCUGAAAACUGUGGGGAGAGACGAUCUUUCCAGGGUGAUGAUAAUGUGAAUUGGGGAGAAUGUUGUGUUUGAGACUUCACAUUUCUGAAAAGAUGAAAUUUAGGCCUUACGAUUGGCACAUGAAGUCACUUUGACCCCUCAUCUCCAAAGAGGGCUGUUUUCUUUGGACUGAAAACCUCAGCACUAGCAACAGGAAAAGCUAUCUUAUCAAAUGGCACAGUCUUGUACAGAUGGGGUUGGCUCCUCGACUUUCUGCAUGGGUCUGUGAGGUCUCCCUGAGCACCUGACCUGAGACAGUCAGUCGCGCCCUACUUCAUGUUUAUCAAAGAUUUAUGAGCAACUGGUCUUUGUUUUCAAUAUCUGGUUCUCCCGCAGGAAGAGAACGGGGACCUGUCUGCCCCCUUCACUGCUGUUUCUCUCCGCCCUGGCACACAGACUCUUGAAAGAUCUUUGUUGAAAUAAUGAAUGACCAAAUGAACAAGUCUCUACUCUUAAACUAGUACUGCGUUGUUUAUUAACUAUUUAACAACUGUGAAUGCUGGCUCCUCCUUACUCUUUUACCAAAUUUUCUGGACUGUUCUUCCAUGUUUUUCUUCCAAACAGACUUGAAUUGGUUUUCAAAAUUUC